rnacentral:sRNA from 1 species
GGCAACAGAGCAAGACCCUGUCUCUUAAUCUCAGCGAGUACAACAGGAAGAUGUACUGAGCCCCAGACCACCCCGUCUCUCAAGAGCUCUGCGUGCCUCUUGCUGUGCCCUACCUGGACAAACCCCCAACUCCGCUCCACUUCUACCGGGACUGGGUCUGCCCCAACAGGCCGUGCAUCAUCCGCAACGCUCUGCAGCACUGGCCGGCCCUCCAGAAGUGGUCCCUCCCCUAUUUCAGGUGGGAGCUGCCCUGGGGUCAGGUGUG